UGGGGAAUCUUCCGCAAAUGGGGCGCAAGCCUGACGGAGCAACGCCGCGUGAGUGAAGAAGGGUUUCGACUCGUAAAGCUCUGUUGUCGGGGACGAAUGUGGAGAUGGUGAAUAACCAUUUCUAAUGACGGUACCUGACGAGGAAGCCACGGCUAACUCCGUGCCAGCAGCCGCGGUAAUACGGAGGAUGCGAGCGUUAUCCGGAUUUAUUGGGUUUAAAGGGUGCGCAGGCGGCGCGCCAAGUCAGCGGUCAAAGUUCCGGGCUCAACCCGGUGUCGCCGUUGAAACUGGCGUGCUCGAGUGCGUGCGAGGAAGGCGGAAUGCGUUGUGUAGCGGUGAAAUGCAUAGAUAUGACGCAGAACUCCGAUCGC
rnacentral:rRNA from 1 species